UAGUUCAGUGGUAGAGCACUUGCCUAGCAUGUAGGAAGCCCUGGGUUCAAUCCCCAG
rnacentral:tRNA from 1 species